UUGCACAAUGGGCGCAAGCCUGAUGCACCUUCGCCGCGUGGGGGAUGAAGGCCUUCGGGUUGUAAACUCCUUUCGCUAGGGACGAAGCUUUUUGUGACGGUACCUAGAUAAGAAGCACCGGCUAACUACGUGCCAGCAGCCGCGGUAAUACGUAGGGUGCGAGCGUUGUCCGGAAUUACUGGGCGUAAAGGGCUCGUAGGUGGUUUGUCGCGUCGUCUGUGAAAUUCUGGGGCUUAACUCCGGGCGUGCAGGCGAUACGGGCAUAACUUGAGUGCUGUAGGGGUAACUGGAAUUCCUGGUGUAGCGGUGAAAUGCGCAGAUAUCAGGAGGAACACCGAUGGCGAAGGCAGGUUACUGGGCAGUUACUGACGCUGAGGAGCGAAAGCAUGGGUAGCGAACAGGAUUAGAUACCCUGGUAGUCCAUGCCGUAAACGGUGGGCGCUAGGUGUGAGGGUCUUUCUACGACUUUCGUGCCGUAGCUAACGCAUUAAGCGCCCCGCCUGGGGAGUACGGCCGCAAGGCUAAAACUCAAAGGAAUUGACGGAA
rnacentral:rRNA from 1 species